AUUGAACGCUGGCGGCAUGCCUUACACAUGCAAGUCGAACGGCAGCACGGGAGCAAUCCUGGUGGCGAGUGGCGAACGGGUGAGUAAAGUAUCGGAACGUGCCCAGUCGUGGGGGAUAACGUAGCGAAAGUUACGCUAAUACCGCAUACGAUCUAUGGAUGAAAGCGGGGGAUCGCAAGACCUCGCGCGAUUGGAGCGGCCGAUAUCAGAUUAGGUAGUUGGUGGGGUAAAGGCUCACCAAGCCGACGAUCUGUAGCUGGUCUGAGAGGACGACCAGCCACACUGGGACUGAGACGCGGCCCAGACUCCUACGGGAGGCAGCAGUGGGGCAUUUUGGACAAUGGGCGAAAGCCUGAUCCAGCCAUGCCGCGUGCAGGAUGAAGGCCUUCGGGUUGUAAACUUCUGUUAAGCGGGAAGAAAUGACUUGUUCUAAUACAGCAAGUCGAUGACGGUACCGCUAGAGAAAGCACCGGCUAAACUCGUGCCAGCCGCCGCAGUAA
rnacentral:rRNA from 1 species